rnacentral:sRNA from 1 species
AUGCGUAACGUUUUAGGAAAAGAUGAAGAAGUAGACAGAAACCAGUUGCAAAAUGACUGUAAGAGAAGUAUAAACCACAGGGUGGCUAAGUGGUCAACAAAUUACCGGUACUCAUCAGAAUUGGAGUGUGUUAAUAAAGAUCAGAAGCAGGAGGUGGCUGUGUUCAGUAAUCUCCUGGCAGUUCUAUGCAGCUACUGGAAAGAUUUCCCCAAACCCAAACCAUGUGAGAAGAGUUCAUCAAAAAGGGAAGCAGAAGGUUUAGAGGGAAAAAAAGAAACUGAAGAGGUCACCCUCAAUCUGGAAAGUGCACCAAAACUCGAUGCAAGAGAAAUAAGCCUCGACGAAGUUUUAUCCAAGGAGUGUGAACCAGAAGGGAAUAUCCCUCAGCAAGUUGAAAAGUCUGCAGAUGAACCUGAGAACCAAAACCAUGAUUCUGGAUUCUAUUCGUUAGAAUCCAUUAACUUAAAGGUUGGUUCUGAGGUAGAUGAAGUAGAUUCUCUCAGUCAACUUUCUAGAGAUGCCCCUGGAAGUGAACAGUGUGGGAAGAUGGAAGAUGUGGAACCAUCAGAUCCCUUGAUUGAAAGGACUGAUGAAUGUUCUCAUUUAGCUGAGGCUGGAGAUCAAGAACGCCAAAAGAAUGGAAAUAGAGAAAGCAAGAACAUGAAAUGUCAUAUCAUUAAAGACAAAGAAGAAAUUGAAAACAAAAAAACUAGGGGAAAAAGUAUUGAUAAUGCUCAGGACAUGAAAUGUCGUAUCAACAAAAAACCAAGACAUUCAUUAAUUUCCUCUCAGGAAUUCAGAAUUUUACGUAAGGCUUUGCCUGAAAGUAAAUUGUCCAAUCUAGUCUACAAUUUUUUUGCAAAGAACAAAAAGUAUGUUAAGAAGGGCUUGAAAAGAAUUAGAUUCUCCUACUUCAGAUUAAUUGAGACUGAUUGUGUUGUGUUUCCAGUGUUGGAUUUACAGAGUGGUUGGGAUUGGACCACACUGGAUAUGAAGAAAGAAUGGUUUAGACUCAACUCCUUUGCCAGUCUGACAUAUCGCAGAUUCUACAAAUUGUCACCUGUAUUACUGGCCACUGCUGGUUUUUACUACAGUGCAGAACACAGAAAAAUUCAGUGUUUUACUUGUGAUAAAUGUUACACACCAGAAUAUUUAGAAAACUUAUUGCAGGCUCUUGAUACUUCAAAUCCUCCAAAGGGUUUACAUGAAAACUGGUGUUUGAUAUCUGACCAUGGGAACAUUCCCGUGCAUCAAACCCCAGGCUGCAAUGACGUAGGAAAUCCAUCUUGUAACAAAAGGCCUUUCAAAGAUGCGGAAGGGAAACUUAUUAAAUGCAAAAACAUGUGUGGACUUAACACUAUCUUUGUGGACAUCAGUCACAUGUUGGCAGAGUUUCCAGCAUUGAAGGAUGCCUUUAAAAAUUGCAGGGGUGGCAAGAACCACUGGUCAGAUUUCAACCAAACUUGGCACAAAGCAUCACUGGGUGAAGGGGAUUCAAGUUUGUUCAAAUGAAGAACCACUCCCUAUUUAAAGGGAAGAUAAUUAUUGAAAAUUGGAGUGAAAGUAUCCUCAGAUAGUGUAGAUUCAAGAUUCUUUUAAUCAUAGUCCCCGGGGGUAAGGUGGGGCCACAAUGGGGGGAUGGAUUUUUACAUAAGAAUGUAAAGAGAAUAUCUUAAAAAAUCUUCUUCUCAAAAACUAUUAGGCCAGAAAAUCUCAAAUUGGAGUGGAAGCAUCUUCAGAUAGUAUAAAUUCAAGUUUGUUUAAAUCAUGGUCCCCAGGGGUAGGAUGGGGCCACAAUGGG